AGGGCUACACACGUGCUACAAUGGCAUAUACAAAGAGAAGCGACCUCGCGAGAGCAAGCGGACCUCAUAAAGUAUGUCGUAGUCCGGAUUGGAGUCUGCAACUCGACUCCAUGAAGUCGGAAUCGCUAGUAAUCGUAGAUCAGAAUGCUACGGUGAAUACGUUCCCGGGCCUUGUACACACCGCCCGUCACACCAUGGGAGUGGGUUGCAAAAGAAGUAGGUAGCUUAACCUUCGGGAGGGCGCUUACCACUUUGUGAUUCAUGACUGGGGUGAAGUCGUAACAAGGUAACCGUAGGGGAACCUGCGGUUGGAUCACCUCCUU
rnacentral:rRNA from 1 species